UCGUGCUAGGCGGGGAGCUAGCGGUGCCCUGUACCCGCAAUCCGCUACAGCGGGGCUGAAUUCCUCUCUGCGGCCGUUGUCGCGGGUGAGUCAAGGUCUGGUAAGUGGCGUUGAGAGUCAGGUCUUGCGCAACGAGCUCCUGUGAACCCCGUCAGGUCCGGAAGGAAGCAGCGGUAAGCAGAUUGGCUCGUGUGCCGCGAGGCCACCUGGCUUGAGCUAACUGCCGGGCCAGACCAUCCCGAAGCGGUCAAGGAGAGGUGCACGG
rnacentral:SRP_RNA from 1 species